CACCACUCAAGCCUAGCUUGGUAUUGGGCGCCGCGGCGAUCUCCAUCGCUGCGCGCCUUAAAGUCUCCGGCUGAGCAGUCUGUCUCCGAGCGUUGUGACACAUGUCGCUAGGGAGUGCAGGUCUGCCGCGGCCGUUAAACACCCCAUCAAA
rnacentral:misc_RNA from 1 species